ensembl:lncRNA
UUUGGAAGCGCAGCCAGCGGGUGUCAGCCCGAACACCAUCCAGAAUCCUGUGUCUGUUUUGGGUCUUCCAUUUUGGAGCAUCGGGCUGUUUUGAGGAGAUAGUGCAUGUUUGUAUUUUCAACUGUACUUUUUUUUUGUUUUGUUUUGUUUAUCUGCCAUUUGGGGGAUUGGUGGCUGCACUACAGCUGAAAGUCACUGUUGGGAGACAGAAGGGCUUUGGCUGCUUUGGACUGUUGGGUUGGAGCAGAACACAGGAUGAUAAGGAAUGAGCUCCCCAGAGAGGACAGAAGAGACAGUGUCUCUCUGUCAACAAUAGCCUGUAUCCUUAAAAAAACAAAGUUCUGAUGAAACAACUGUAUAAAGUGUAUUUUGAAAGACAUUCAGAUGGGUGAAAGUCCUGCG